GUAGGGGUGCAAGCAUUAUCCGGAUUUAUUGGGCGUAAAGAGUUCUGUAGGGCGGUAUUGUAAGUCAGAGGGUUAAAUCCUUCAGCUCAACUGAAGAACCGCUUCUGAUACUGCAUUACUAGAGACAGCUAGGGGUUAGUAGAACCUAUGGUGAAGCAGUGAAAUGCGUUGAUAUCAUAGGGAAUACCGAGGGGAAGCCAACUAACUGGGGCUGUUCUGACGCUGAGAUACGAAAGCGUGGGUAGCGAAACGGAUUAGAUACCCGUGUAGUCCACGCCGUAAACGAUGCCUGCUAGAUACCUGGUUUAAUUGGGUGUCGAAGCUAACGCGUUAAGCAGGCCGCCUGGGAAGUACGGCCGCAAGGCUA
rnacentral:rRNA from 1 species